UGUAACUUCAAAGACAAUCAAGUUUAGUUCAAAAUCAGAAGAGAAGGCCAGGGAAGCAGUAAGCAGAGAGACUGUGAGUGGAAUUGCUAAGUCACAUGAUAAGCAUAAAUUUAACUUUAAAAGAAGCUGCCAAUUUUGUCUUCCAGCAUAGACAGAGUCUCACUUUACCACCCUUGGUAGAGUGCCAUGAUGUCACAGGACUCACAGCAACCUCCAGCUCUUGGGCUUUUGCGAUUCUCCCGCCUCAGCCUCCCGAGCAGCUGGGACUACAGGCGCCCGCCACAACGCCCGGCUAUUUUUUGGUUGCAGUUCAGCCGGGGCUGGGUUUGAACCCAUCACCCUCGGUAUAUG